AGGGAUGGAUGGGAUAUUGGGAAGGGAUUCAUCCCUGGUGAGGAUGGUGAGGCCCUGGCACAGGGUGCGCAGAGCAGUUGUGGCUGUCCCAUCCCUG